UUAAUAAUUUAUUUGAUUUUAUUGAUUUUUUUUUUUGUAAAAUUAAUUGUUUUUGUUUUAGUAAGGUUUUGAAUUUAAUUUUUUUUUCUAUAGUUUAUAUGUACUUAAAAGGUUUAUUAUUUUAUUUUGUUAAAGUAUAUUUAUUUUUUUACCUUUUGUAUCAGGGAGGAUUUAUUUUUAUUAAUUUAUUUUAUUUUCUCGAAUAUGAGGGAUUUAAUUAUUAAAUGUUAUUUAAUGUUGUAUAAUUAUUGAUUAUUUAUUUUUGGUAGUGAUAUGUUAUUCGUUCUUGUUGAUAUCUAGUUUCUUAAGAUUAAAUUUAAUUUUAUAUUAAUUAGUUUUUUUGUUAUUUUUUUUUCAUUUGAUUUUUUAAUAUUAUUUAAUUGGGGAUAAUCUUGAUUUAGUUGUAAUAAUUUUUUUUAUUCAAUAAUUUUUGUAGGUUUAGAAUUAGCAUUCAUUUAAUUAUGUAAUUAUUUAUUUUAUUUUAUAUUUUAUUUUUUAUUUGGUUUUAUUUUUUAUUAAGAUUAUUGUUUUAAUUAUUUAUUUAUUUAAUAAUGAUUUUAUUAGUAUAAUUAUAAUGUUUAUUAUAGGAAUUCGGCAAAAAUUUAUUUUCACCUGUUUAUCAAAAACAUGGUUUUUAGAAUUUAUGUUAAAGAUCUAAUCUGCUCAAUGAUGAUAAUUUAAUAGCCAUGGUAAAUUGACCAUGCAAAGGUAGCAUAAUAAUUAGUCUUUUAAUUGAAGUCUGGAAUGAAUGAUUGAAUGAGAAAUUGACUUUCUUUAUUAUUUAAUUUGAAUUUAAUUUUUGAGUGAAAAAGCUUAAAUUUUUUUAAGUGACGAUAAGACCCUAUAGAGCUUAAAAUUUGUUUAUUUGUUAUUAUUUUAGUUUAUUUAUAUUUUUUAAUUUGAAUAGAUUUUUUGUUGGGGUGACAAGUAAUUAAUGUUUUUAACUUUAUUUUAUUAUUUCAUUUAUUUAUGUUUAUUUUUGAUCUAGUAUUAUUGAUUAUAAGAAUAAGUUACCUUAGGGAUAACAGCGUAAUUUUUUUGUAGAGUUCAUAUCGAUAAAGAAUUUUGCGACCUCGAUGUUGGAUUAAGAUUAAAUUAGGGGGUAGUGUUUCUAUGUUUAAGUCUGUUCGACUUUUAAAUUCUUACAUGAUCUGAGUUCAGACCGGCGUGAGCCAGGUUGGUUUCUAUCUUUAAAGUUUUUUAAUUAUUUUAGUACGAAAGGACCGGUAUAAUUGAUUAAUAAUUUGUUUUGAUUGAGUUAUUAUUAAAG
rnacentral:rRNA from 1 species